GACGAACGCUGGCGGCGUGCCUAAUACAUGCAAGUCGAACGCAGUGGGGACGGGUGAGUAACACGUGGGUAACCUCCCAUCAGAGGGGAUAACACUUGGAAACAGGUGCUAAACCGAUACUGAUGGAUGGACCCGCGGUGCAUUAGCUAGUUGGUGAGGUAACGGCUCACCAAGGCCACGAUGCAUAGCCGACCUGAUAGGGGAGUCGGCCACUCGUGACCUGAGACACGCCCAAGAGUCCUACGGGAGGCAGCAGUAGGGAAUCUACGGAAAUGGACGAAGGUCUGACCAAGCAAGGCGGCGUGAGUGAAGAAGGUUUUCGGAUCGUAAAACUCUGUUGUUAGAGAAGCGGUAUCUAACAAGAAAGCCACGGCUAACUACGUGCCAGCAGCCGCGGUAAUAC
rnacentral:rRNA from 1 species